rnacentral:rRNA from 1 species
UACGGAGGAUGCAAGCGUUAUCCGGAAUGAUUGGGCGUAAAGCGUCCGCAGGUGGCAAUGUAAGUCUGCUGUUAAAGAGUCUAGCUCAACUAGAUAAAAGCAGUGGAAACUACAUAGCUAGAGUACGUUCGGGGCAGAGGGAAUUCCUGGUGUAGCGGUGAGAUGCGUAGAGAUCAGGAAGAACACCGGUGGCGAAGGCGCUCUGCUAGGCCGUAACUGACACUGAGGGACGAAAGCUAGGGGAGCGAAUGGG